rnacentral:rRNA from 1 species
AUUAAGAGCAUAUGGUGGAUGCCUUGGGUCCCGAAGGCGAUGAAGGACGUGGCGUGCCUGCGAUAAGCGUCGGGGAGGUGGCGAGCAACCUUUGAUCCGGCGAUGUCCGAAUGGGGAAACCCCGCCGUGCAAAACACGGUGAGCCCCCAUCUAACUAUACUGAUGAUAUAGUAUUUAUAUAUACAUAGGUUUGAGAAAUGGAAAAUGUUCUUUCUCAUUCUGGUUGGUCGGUAUAGUUAGGUGGGGGUGGCGAUACCCGCUGAAUUGAAACAUCUUAGUAAGCGGAGGAAAAGAAAACAAUUCGAGUUUGUAGUUUAUAGUCGGUAGUUUGUAGUUUUCUACUCACUACUAACUAUUUAUUACCAACUCGUCCAUUCCCUUAGUAGCGGCGAGCGAAAAGGGAAAUAGCCCAAACGCUUUAUUUAGAAGAAUGUCCCUGGAAAGGACAGCCAAAGAGGGUGAUAGCCCCGUAUUUGAAAAAUAUUGCAUGCUCCCAGUUAUUAUUCUUGAGUACUGCCCCGUAUGGAGACUGGGCAGGAAACAGGCAGAACUAGUCUGCCAAGGCUAAAUACUCUCGGGACACCGAUAGUGAACUAGUACCGUGAGGGAAAGGUGAAAAAUAGCCCGAUAAGGGCGGUGAAAUAGAUCUGAAACCAUAUGCUUACAAGGAGACAUAGCCCGGGUAGUGUCGUGCCUAUUGAAGAAUGAGCCAACGAGUUUUUGGAUGCUACUCGUCUAAAUGGCGUAAAGCCAUGAAGGCAUAGGGAAACCGAGUGUUAAUAGCGCGUUAUAGUUUAUGGUUUGUAGAUGGUAGUUUGUAGUUUUUUCUACUCACUACUGCCUACCGACUAUAAACUAAAUGUAGUAUUCAAAAGACCCGAAACCAGAUGAGCUUGCCAUGAGCAGGGUGAACGACGGGUAACACCGUCGGGAGGCCCGAACCCGUUGGUCGUACAACGCCUUGGGAUGACUUGUGGUAAGGAGUGAAAAGCUAAUCGAAUCUGGAAAUAGCUGGUUCUCUUCGAAAUAGUUUUUGGACUAGCCCUGAAUCACACCAUACGCGAGGUAGAGCUACUGAAUGGUCUGUAAAGGGCGAAAGCUCGACAGACCAACCAAACUCCGAAUGCGCGUAUUGUUAUUUCAGGAGUCAGCAGGUGGGGGCUAAGCUUCAUCGUGCAAGAGGGAAACAGCCCUGACCGUCAACUAAGGUCCCUAAAUCAACGCUAAGUGUAAAAAGGUGGUGGAGUUUCUUAUACACCGAGGAGGUUGGCUUAGAAGCAGCCAUCCUUUAAAGAGUGCGUAACAGCUCACUCGUCUAGAGAUUCUGCGCCUAAGAUUCUCGGGGCUAAGCGUUGUACCGAAGUUACGGAUGUGCGGAAUUUUCGAAUUCCGUACGUAGUAGAAGAGCAUUGUUAUUUCAGUGAAGCCGCAUCCGUGAGGAGCGGUGGAGAGAUAACAAGAGAGAAUGUUGGCACAAGUAACCACAAUGCCGGUGAGAUACCGGCACGCCGAAAACCCAAGGUUUCCUCGGCAAUGAAAAUCAACCGAGGGUUAGUCGGUCCUAAGGCGAUAGCGAAAGCUGAAGUCGAUGGACAGCAGGUUAAUAUUCCUGCACCGUUGUAUUUUUUCGAUGGGGUGACGGAGAGUAGUAUGUCGGGCGCACUAUUGGAUUUGACGUUUAUGACGUAAGGAAUGCUCGCAGGCAAAUCCGCGAGCAGGGGUUAUGCCCGAUUCCAAGCGUCGUGAAAAUCUUUGGCAGCAAUGCCGAAGAAAUCCGAUAAAGCACUCUUCCAAGAAAAUCCUCUAGAGUCAAAAAUACAAUGACCGUACCGUAAACCGACACAGGUGGGUUGGUGGAGAACACCAAGGCGAAUGGGUGAGUCCUGGUUAAGGAACUCGGCAAAAAAGCAGCCGUAAGUUCGCAAUAUGGCUUACCCCCAUCACAUUUUGGAUUAAGAAAAUACACCACAAAAGUUCUAUUAUGACUUGUAUCAUAAUGUCAAGUCGUAUCCAAAAUGUGGUGGGGGUCGCAGCGAAAGUAACCCCGGGCGACUGUUUACCAAAAACACAGGUCCCUGCUAACUCGUAAGAGGAUGUAUAGGGGCUGACGCCUGACCAAUGCGAGAAGGUUAAGCAUUCUUGUGGAGUGAUAGCAAUAUUGUUCUGCUCUGGGUGCCAAGCCCUCGUCAAUGUCUGCGGUAACUAUAACCGUAUUAAAGUAGCGCAAUUCCUUUUCGGGUAAAUUUCGGAAUUUGCCCACUAAAGGAGUAAAGUUCCGAAGCGCACGAAAGGCGUAACGACUUGGGGACUGUCUCAACCAGGAGCCCAGUGAAAAUACAGUACCGGUGAAGAUGCCGGUUCCCUGUGGUUAGACGAAAAGACCCCAGAAGCUUUACUGCAGCUUGAUAUUGAGUUUAAAGUUUUCCUGCGUAGCAUAGAUGGGAGGCUUUGAAGUCCUAAUUUCGGUUGGGAUGGAGCCGUCAGUGAAAUACCAUUCUUGGAAAUUUUAAAUUCUAACCGUCGCGGGACCUAAAAAAGGAAAUCGCGGCGAGACAGUGUCUGGUGGGCAGUUUGUGUGGGGCACAAUCCUCCCAAAAAGUAAUGGAGGAGCCUAUUAAGGUCGGCUUGGAGCGGAUGGACAUCGCUCUGGACGUGCAAAGGCAUAAGCCGGCUUAACUGCAAGGUGGAUAUACCGCGCAGUUGCGAAAGCAGAGCUUAGUGAACCGAUGGCAAUGGUAUGUAUUCACGCUUCGGGUUUUCCCGAUGUGUGGGUAUUUACUUCUUACUAGAAUAAGGCCAAAGAUUAACAGAUAAAAGCUACUCUGGGGAUAACAGGCUAGUUCCGCCCGAGAGUCCUUAUCGACGGCGGAGUUCGGCACCUCGAUGUCGGCUCAACUUAUCCCGGGGCUGGAAAAGGUCCCAAGGGUUUGGCUGUUCGCCAAUUAAAAAGUUACGUGAGCUGGGUUCAGACCGUAAGCGUGAGACAGGUUGGUCUCCUAUCUACCACAGGCGCAAGAUACUUGAGGGGAUUCGUCCCUAGUACGAGAGGACCGGGAUGAACGAACCUCUGGCGUACCAGCUGUUCUGCCAAGAGCAUCGCUGGGUACCUAUGUUCGGAAUUGAUAAGCGCUGAAAGCAUCUAAGCGCGAAACAUACCCCAAGAUUAGGUAUCAUAGAUCCGUAGAAGAUGACUACGUUGAUAGGGUUUAGGUGUAAGCCGAGUAAUCGGUUAAGCCGAGAACUACUAAUAGAUCAU